rnacentral:rRNA from 1 species
CGUGUAGGCGGAUCGGCACGUCGGCGCCUGAAAUCCCCCGGCUCAACCGGGGAGCGUGGCCCGAAACGACCAGUCUGGAGGGACGUAGGGGGAGCUGGAACUUCCGGUGGAGCGGUGAAAUGCGUUGAGAUCGGAAGGAACGCCCGUGGCGAAAGCGAGCUCCUGGACGUCUGCUGACGCUGAGACGCGAAAGCUAGGGUAGCGAACG